UACGGAGGUGGCAAGCGUUGUUCGGAAUUACUGGGCGUAAAGGGCGCGUAGGCGGCAAGGCAAGUCAGGUGUGAAAGCCCCGAGCUUAACUCGGGAAUUGCAUCUGAAACUGCUGUGCUUGAGUUCUGGAGGGGGUAGUGGAAUUCCCAGUGUAGCGGUGAAAGUGCGUAGAUAUUGGGAGGAACACCUGCGGCGAAGGCGGCUACCUGGACAGAAAC
rnacentral:rRNA from 1 species